GCGCCGAUAGCUCUAUUGGUAGAGCCAGUGGGUGGGACAGUACCCCACGGUCCCGAGGUCAAGCCCCGGUCGACGCU